rnacentral:rRNA from 1 species
CAGUACCGUGAGGGAAAGGCGAAAAGAACCCCGGCGAGGGGAGUGAAAAAGAACCUGAAACCGUGUACGUACAAGCAGUGGGAGCCCCACCACUAAGCCAGUGGUGAACUCCACAUACGCAUCCUUUGCUGAGGAUACGGUUAACGGAGCGAAAGCGACGUUCAACCUCAAAAGAAGCAGAGGGGGCUUAGUGGUGGGGUGACUGCGUACCUUUUGUAUAAUGGGUCAGCGACUUAUAUUCUGUAGCAAGGUUAACCGAAUAGGGGAGCCGGAGGGAAACCGAGUCUUAAUUGGGCGUUAAGUUGCAGGGUAUAGACCCGAAACCCGGUGAUCUAGCCAUGGGCAGGUUGAAGGUUGGGUAACACUAACUGGAGGACCGAACCGACUAAUGUUGAAAAAUUAGCGGAUGACCUGUGGCUGGGGGUGAAAGGCCAAUCAAACCGGGAGAUAGCUGGUUCUCCCCGAAAGCUAUUUAGGUAGCGCCUCGUGAAUUCAUCUCCGGGGGUAGAGCACUGUUUCGGCUAGGGGGUCAUCCCGACUUACCAACCCGAUGCAAACUGCGAAUACCGGAGAAUGUUAUCACGGGAGACACACGGCGGGUGCUAACGUCCGUCGUGAAGAGGGAAACAACCCAGACCGCCAGCUAAGGUCCCAAAGUCAUGGUUAAGUGGGAAACGAUGUGGGAAGGCCCAGACAGCCAGGAUGUUGGCUUAGAAGCAGCCAUCAUUUAAAGAAAGCGUAAUAGCUCACUGGUCGAGUCGGCCUGCGCGGAAGAUGUAACGGGGCUAAACCAUGCACCGAAGCUGCGGCAGCGACACUGUGUGUUGUUGGGUAGGGGAGCGUUCUGUAAGCCGUUGAAGGUGUGUCGUGAGGCAUGCUGGAGGUAUCAGAAGUGCGAAUGCUGACAUAAGUAACGAUAAUGCGGGUGAAAAACCCGCACGCCGGAAGACCAAGGGUUCCUGUCCAACGUUAAUCGGGGCAGGGUGAGUCGACCCCUAAGGCGAGGCCGAAAGGCGUAGUCGAUGGGAAACGGGUUAAUAUUCCCGUACUUGGUGUUACUGCGAAGGGGGGACGGAGAAGGCUAUGUUGGCCGGGCGACGGUUGUCCCGGUUUAAGCGUGUAGGUGUGUGUUCCAGGUAAAUCCGGUUCACUUUAACACUGAGGCGUGAUGACGAGGCACUACGGUACUGA